AUUUCAGCGGACUCUAUCCUUAUGCCCUGUGGAUGUCCAAAAGGUUUGGGAGUCAAGAGGUCAUAUUAUACAGUGGAGUUCCAGCCUUUGGGACCACUUGGUCUUGGUCGUGCAGGAAUAGUAAUUGAUGGCCUUCAGUGUGGGAGGAAACCGAAGGUCUUCGAGAAAACGCACGCAGGUCACGGGUG